GCCCAACUAAAUGUGUUCCAGUGAUUCCAAUAGCUAUUUAGCUGGUAUCUACUGCUAUAUCACCUAGUGUGAAGUUUUGGAAUUAAUGGAACAAUGAAAGAAGCAGUGCAGCUGGAGGCUCCCAAGUGGGCACGGAAGGUCUCCAAUUUAUGCAGUCAUUCUGCUGUGAAAAUGAACUAACCUUGUUAUUGGUGAAGGCCUUGGAAAUUUUUGCCAGCCGAGAGAGAGGUUUCUCUUACUCAGGGUAAGAUGUAAUCAUAGUAUGGGAGAGCUAGGCGGGAAUUCAGUUAACUUAAUCCAAUUGCCCAAUUUUAUACUUUGCAUCCAUUUGUAAACUGAAGCUGAGAACCUAAGUGGCCUGCACAAACAGCUUGUUAAAGAUCAGGUUUGAGGAGUACUCCUCAGAUUCCCCCGUACUCUUACAGAUAUGGCGUUGCCUCUUAAAAUACAAGUACUGGUCAAUUUGAGUAACAUAGACUGGAUUCAACUCUGACUGUGUCAGUGGAGUAUACAGAUGGUAUGGUCUUGGAAACUGCCUUUUCUUUUCUAACAACCUUUCCUGAUUACUGUCCAAGUCCUACCUUUGGUGGCUACUAGAUGAUGAGGAUCCAUAGAAAUGUCUCGGGGCAUGUGCUUGACAGCGACAGCCCGUGCGCCGUGCCCCUCGUAAGGACAGCCACAGGAAAGGCGGGCCUGGGAGGGAAAACGGGACUGAGCAUGCACUCCCCACUUACCCCUUGAAAAGUCGUAAGAGAACACAAUAAAACUUGAGGAUAGCUUCACCUUCUCUGGCUGACCAUGAUAAGUAAUAGGAGCAUUAAUAAUGCCGGAAUCCUGUCUGGUGGUCUUUUUUCAUUAUCAUUUCAAAACCAGGAACACCUGUAGCUUGUGUUUUGUGGUAUAUUUUUUUCUUAGGAAGUAAUGUUGACAUUAAAACAAAAAAAAAUUCAUUGCUUUGGAAAGGGGAGGGUGUUUUUCCUGAAUGAAUAAAUGCUAUGGGUUUGGUUGGGUGCCUUGUUUGCCUCUUUUAACGGCAGCGGAUUGAAUUAUAAAUGACAGACUUACAUUAUUAAUGUAGUAUGUGUGUGAUCCUGUCAAACAAGUUCUGAAAAUACUUAUAUAUACCAUGUGUCUAUUUAAAUUCCAUUUAAAAAAAUUAAAACACUGCAUACAUCCAAAGAAAUUCAGAGCAUUUAAAAACAAGCUUUACUUUCGGGUAGAUCACCUACCUGUUGUAAGAAAUGGAAGAAUAGGGUCAAGUGGUGAGGACAUUUUUAAGAACAGCAAUUUGCAAAGUCAAAAAAUCUAUUAGUGUUAUGUCUUAAAAUAGCACUGACUUUAGAAAUCAGGAAGUAUUGCCUCAUUUUUAACAGGGUGCAGUAAUACAAUUGUGAUUUUUGUUUUUAAGGUGAGUUUGAAAAUCCAGCUGAGAGAUUGUUUCUUGAAAUGCCAUUAUUUACACUCUUCUCAGAAGCACUGAGUCUGACAAGGCACCAGAUGCUUUGCUGGCAGUAGGUCAAGGACCAGAAUAAGCUUGUGGGCAUUCAUACAAGUGUUUAAAAAAAAAAAAAAAACUACAACCAACACAUCUUUUAUUUACUUGAUUGAAAGUCUAAUGGUACAUACGAGGUUUAAUAGAGUUGCCCUCCAUUUUAUUCACACUGACUCCACAGAGUUGUAUCCUCAAGCUCGAUUCCGCUCAGCUGCUGUUCUUGCUGGGGCUUUGUUUUCUUUCAGGGUCAAGGUGGGUACUUUCAUACAAAAUCUUAUUUUUAAUUCCAUCUCUGGCAGUUCUUUCCUGGAUUCUUAGCUUCGCAUAAUUAUACCUACAAUGGAACCUUAUAAAAAAAGAACACAAAUGAGUGAUUUUUAAUAUAAAUUUCCUCUAGAAGCCAGUUUGAAAUUUGUAGUAACAAAAUUUAAGAUGCUUAUAGAUGACUACCCCAAGAUUUUUUGAGAAUACAACCCUUCUAAUUUGGAGUGCUAUUUUGGGGUGGUUUGGUGUCAGAAAUACCUAAUUAUUUGGUAGGUUUUACAUAAAAUGAGGCUUUUAAUCACCUCUAGCUUAGUUUUACUUGUAGAACCUCAUCCAGUGGAACCAUAUAUAUACUGUGUACUCCUGACUCUGGCUUUAUUUUGCUCAAGAAAACACAGGAGAUUCAUGCAUGUGUUUUGUUAGUUGUGAACACAUUCUUAAAAGCCUUUUCAGAUGUGACAUCAACAAGCAAGAAAGAGCAUCAGGGUUGAGGCCUUCCUAAAUAAAGUAGAAGUCAUAACUUGGUAUUGAUGAAAUUCCAUGCAUUCAUCUGCUCAUUUGACAAAUGGUAUACAAUGUGUCUGCAUAGACAUACUUAAAAGAGGUUUCUUCCUC